GUCUGUAUGUGGCAGAGCUGGGCUCUGGGGUAAUGAGCUGAGUCAGAGGAGAGGAACUGAGGAAACGGAUGCAGAGGAAGAGAAGCACCAGCUUUACAGAAACGAUCCUUGGCCAGUUUGGAGGAAAAGUCAUGAAAACCAGCUGUCACAGAUCCUCACGGAUUGUGACAACAAAGAAGAUGUGGGCUGACAGAGGAUGAAAUUUUCAGGGGCUGUGUUUCCUAGUGGCCCAGAAAUGGGAGCUAGUGCUCCUUGAGUUCAUCUAGGGAGAGACACCCUGAGAAGAGGAGAUGAUAGAGGGGAUGAAGGCGGGGUGCCCUCAAUCUUCCCCAUGCCUGCUUCUGCUCCCCUGCCCCGCCAGUCACAAAGAUGAAGACCUGGAGGUGGCCUCAUGUUACCUAAUCUUACAUAACCUUGGGACUGGAAGGUGGUCUCGUCCAACAGACUACACAGUUACCAACCCUGUCUGCAGACUUCCCACCACCCACCUCCUGGGCUGCCCAUUGUGUCCUUGGAGAGCUUCUUCCUCAUCUUCCUCAUAAGGGCCCUGGAAUGAGUUCCUGCAGAGGAAAAAUAAUACUUGUGACUGUAUCCACUCACUUACUCCUGGGCCAGAGAGGGGGCUGAGACCUGGAUGAAGAGGUGAAGGUGUCUUCAAGGGACUUAAAUGUUUCCUCCCUGGUAGAAGCAGAAUGAUUCGAACAUGUUCCCAGCCCAAGAAAUGAAGAAACCAAAACGUGUGAGAAGUUAAUUAACCCAACCCAAGCUCAUGCAGCUGCUGAGUGAUGGACCUGGGAUUCAAACCUAGUGAGUCUGGCUCAAGAGUACAUGUUCUUAACACUACAUAGAUUGCCUCUCUAACCAUAAUGCUGAGUUUUAUGUGCACUGUGGGGUAGGUUAGAGUAGAGCAGGGAGCUUGGGAGCAUGCUGACUGUUUGGGACAGUGGCUAUAAGUGAGGAGAAAGAGAAAGUUCCCCAGGGAAAAGGGAGAAGGUGGCCCCACACACUGAGAGCCCAGGGGAGGCCGUAGAGCUGGGUUAGUCAUGCAAAGCUUUCCAAACCAGAGCUCUCAGGGCUGACCAUACUUCCAGAAUGGGGAUGGACCUGUUUUCUAGGUGCUUUCUUCUUUGCAGUCUCUUAAAUAGAACUACAGAGCUUUUAUUCUUUAAGGGCUCUAUUGCCAAUACUUAAGAAUGGGCAAGGAUACAGGGAUGAGAGAUAUUCAAAAAGAACUGUAGGAUAUAAAAAAGCUCUGGAAGCUUAUAGCAUUCUCAUAAGAAAUUAUCCUGUUUCUGACUCUUUCUCUCUGUUAGUUACUGGGAGACCUGAUAGUUCCCUGCUCUCUUUAUCAUUUGAUGAGGGUGAAACUCAUCAAACCUCUCCCUCAGUCCACUGGAUUC